rnacentral:rRNA from 1 species
CCUACGGGAGGCAGCAGUGAGGAAUAUUGGUCAAUGGACGCAAGUCUGAACCAGCCAUGCCGCGUGCAGGAAGACGGCUCUAUGAGUUGUAAACUGCUUUUGUACGAGGGUAAACGCAGAUACGCGUAUCUGUCUGACAGUAUCGUACGAAUAAGGAUCGGCUAACUCCGUGCCAGCAGCCGCGGUAAUACGGAGGAUUCAAGCGUUAUCCGGAUUUAUUGGGUUUAAAGGGUGCGUAGGCGGUCGGAUAAGUUAGAGGUGAAAUCCCGGGGCUCAACUUCGGAAUUGCCGCUGAUACUGUUCGGCUAGAGAGAAGGUGAGGUAGGCGGAAUGUAUGGUGUAGCGGUGAAAUGCUUAGAGAUCAUACAGAACACCGAUUGCGAAGGCAGCAUACCAAGCUACUUCUGACGUUGAGGCACGAAAGCGUGGGGAGCAAACAGGAUUAGAUACCCUGGUAGUC